AGCAGCCGCGGUAAUUCCAGCUCCAAUAGCGUAUAUUAAAGUUGUUGCAGUUAAAAAGCUCGUAGUUGAAUUUCGGAAUCUGUCCGUUGGUCGGGCUUAAUUGUCCGUACUGAUGUGAUGGGUUCUUACCUUCUGAAUAACCAGCAUGCCAUUAAUUUGGUGUGUUGGGGAAGCAGGACUAUUACCUUGAAAAAAUUAGAGUGCUCAAAGCAGGCUAGCGCCUGAAUACAUUAGCAUGGAAUAAUAAAAUAGGACGGCAUGGUUCUAUUUUGUUGGUUUCUAGGAUCACCGUAAUGAUUAAUAGGGAUAGUUGGGGGCAUUAGUAUUCAAUUGUCAGAGGUGAAAUUCUUGGAUUUAUUGAAGACUAACUUCUGCGAAAGCAUUUGCCAAGGAUGUUUUCAUUAAUCAAGAACGAAAGUUAGGGGAUCGAAGACGAUCAGAUACCGUCGUAGUCUUAACCAUAAACUAUGCCGACUAGGGAUCGGACGAUGUUAAUUUUAUAAUGACUCGUUCGGCG
rnacentral:rRNA from 1 species